rnacentral:rRNA from 1 species
AGAGUUUGAUCAUGGCUCAGAUUGAACGCUGGCGGCAUGCCUUACACAUGCAAGUCGAACGGCAGCACGGGAGCAAUCCUGGUGGCGAGUGGCGAACGGGUGAGUAAUAUAUCGGAACGUGCCCAGUCGUGGGGGAUAACGUAGAGAAAUUUACGCUAAUACCGCAUACGAUCUACGGAUGAAAGCGGGGGACUUCGCAAGGAGCCUCGCGCGAUUGGAGCGGCUGAUAUCAGAUUAGGUUGUUGGUGAGGUAAAAGCUCACCAAGCCGACGAUCUGUAGCUGGUUUGAGAGAACGACCAGCCACACUGGGACUGAGACACGGCCCAGACUCCUACGGGAGGCAGCAGUGGGGAAUUUUGGACAAUGGGCGAAAGCCUGAUCCAGCAAUGCCGCGUGCAGGAAGAAGGCCUUCGGGUUGUAAACUGCUUUUGUACGGAACGAAAAGGUCUGCCCUAAUACGGCGGGCCCAUGACGGUACCGUAAGAAUAAGCACCGGCUAACUACGUGCCAGCAGCCGCGGUAAUACGUAGGGUGCGAGCGUUAAUCGGAAUUACUGGGCGUAAAGCGUGCGCAGGCGGUGAUGUAAGACAGUUGUGAAAUCCCCGGGCUCAACCUGGGAAUUGCAUCUGUGACUGCAUCGCUAGAGUACGGUAGAGGGGGAUGGAAUUCCGCGUGUAGCAGUGAAAUGCGUAGAUAUGCGGAGGAACACCGAUGGCGAAGGCAAUCCCCUGGACCUGUACUGACGCUCAUGCACGAAAGCGUGGGGAGCAAACAGGAUUAGAUACCCUAGUAGUCC